rnacentral:tRNA from 1 species
GGGGACAUAGUAUAACCUGGCAGAACGUGAGGCUCCAGACCUUAAGGUCGGGGUUCAAAUCCCCGUGUCCCCA